rnacentral:rRNA from 1 species
GCUCAGAGUGAACGCUGGCGGCAGGCCUAACACAUGCAAGUCGAGUGCCACGCAAGGGGAGUGGCAGACGGGAGAGUAACACGUGGGAACGUACCAUUCAGUUCGGAACAACCAAGGGAACCUUGGGCUAAUACCGGAUACGUCCGUAAGGAGAACGAUUUAUCGCUGAAGGAUCGGCCAGCGUCUGAUUAGCUAGUUGGUGAGGUAACGGCUCACCAAGGCGACGAUCAGUAGCUGGUCUGAGAGGAUGAUCAGCCUCACUGGGACUGAGACACGGCCAAGACUCCUACGGGAGGCAGCAGUGGGGAAUAUUGGACAAUGGGCGCAAGCCUGAUCCAGCCAUGCCGCGUGGAUGAUGAAGGCCAUAGGGUUGUAACGUCCUUUCGGCGGGGAAGAUAAUGACGGUACCAGCAGAAGAAGCCACGGCUAACUUCGUGCCAGCAGCCGCGGUAAUACGAAGGGGGCUAGCGUUGCUCGGAAUCACUGGGCGUAACGCGCACGUAGGCGGACUCUUAAGUCGGUGGUGAACUCCUGGAGUUCAACUCCAGAACUGCCUUCGAUACUGGGAGUCUCCGAGUCCGGGAGAGGUGAGUGGAACUGCGAGUGUAGAGGUGAACUUCGUAGAUAUUCGCAAGAACACCAGUGGCGAAGGCGGCUCACUGGCCAGGUACUGACGCUGAGGUGCGAACGCGUGGGGAGUAACCAGGAUUAGAUACCAUGGUAGUCCACGCCGUAACCGAUGGAUGCUAGCCGUUGGCA